GUCACUAACUUAAUUGCUUUGACUAUUUCAGGGUAUCAGUUGAUAUCAGCUGAGGCACAGGAAACAAAAGAUAUGCAACAAGAAGCUACCCUGCUGACAAAGUGGCAGAGGAUUAUGGGAAUUAACUAUGAAAUAGUGGUAGGUUAGUUUACCCUCCCUAAUAUCCUAACUUGUAAAUGUAUUUGAACAGGAAGUUCAUAGCAGUAAUAGACAUCAUCUUCACAAGAAGUUCUAGAGAAGCAGUAAAUAUUCAAGGCUUUUUUAGAAGACCUAAGUAUCCUAAUUUGGGUACUGAAAAUUUCAACUUGGAGAAAGUUAUAUAGUAAAUGAGGAGUGGAAAUAAAUGGCAUGGAAGUUUUAGAACUUGUAUAUCAUCAGUAUUUUAAUACUUCUGAUAAUGGUGUAGAUUAUACACGAAGGAGGGGUUUUCUGAUUCUUACACCUGUGGUUUAUAGAAAGAAUCCUCUUAAAAAUAAGACAGAAUUAUCAUGUCUGUAGAGAAUUGGGGAAGGACUCUUUCCCUCACCUUCUUUUUUUAUUUUUGUGUAUUUACUUUCCUUGAAGAGGUUAAUCUGUCUACUUUUCCCUAUCACUUAUGCCAUGGUAAAUAUUUUAUAUUUAUUAACAUGAAGCACUUUGUAUAUCUAGCCAACCUAUCACAAUGUGCUAUUCUAAAGGGAGGUCUAAGAAAGUUGACACAAAUCAUUAAUUUUACAUGCAUACCAGAAAAUUUCAAGGAUUUGAAAAGGAAAAGUAAAAUACAAAGUUGGUUAGAAUUUUUCAUAUUGCCAGAAAUGUUUAUAUACCUUUGAAUUGGGGGAGAUAAAAGGCAAAUGAUAAUAUGUAAUGUUAGUAACCACUACUUAGGGACACUUUGUUUCUACUGAGGAGGCACUUUGUUUCUAAGUAGUGCUCUUAAUUUUUCAUUUAAUUUUCAUGACAAUAAUUUUUUAACAUUCAGAAUAAUUAACAAAUAAGAAUUGAGCUAGUACAGCUGUUGCUACCUUUUAUAAUUGAGUCAAGGAAAAAUACAAUUAGGUCCAGCUCAACAGCAAUUAAUUUAGCAUUUCCUUUUAUGGGACAGGGUUAACUUAACUGGCAUGCAUAACUGAGCCUGCAGUUCUUUAGGUUGAAACUGAAUGUUAAAGGACACCUACCCUUGAUUAGACAUUUCAUCCCAGACUCAGAAACAAUACUGAACUUCUAACUGUCCUCUGUGCAUAUACUGUUUUGGUGGGACUUCCAGUAAUCUGGCAAAGGCAGAAGUGUGCUGUGAUAAAGAAACCUAUAUUUACUUAAUUAAAUUUCCUAUUAGCUCCAGAACUUUGAGAGGUAAACCAUCUAAGCCUUUAUCUUCCUCUAUAAAAUAGAACUAAUAUCACCUGCCUUAUUGGUGCUUAAGUGUUCAAGAGAUGACGAAAGACACCCAGAUGGUGCUAUCAUUAUAUACAGAAAGAGUUACUUUUAUAACUAAGCUGGUAUGGUUCACACAUAUUUUUAUGUUCCCUUUUCCUACCUACCCAAACUGCACAGUCCUUGAUCUCAGGCCACUAUGAUACCUGGAACUUUAUAUAUACAGUAUGGCACCUGGAUACCUUGUAUCAUUUAGAAAUGUGAUUAAAUGGAAGUUUAGAGACGAUAUCUUAAGAAUUACAUGUAAAUAAAACCAGUUUGUUUAAAAUAAAUAAGAAAGAACUAAGUUCUUUGGGCUGUGGUGAGACAACGGUAAAGGAAAAAGAUCUGACUUCACUUUGUUUGCUAUCUAGUUAUGCAGCAUACAUGAAAAUGUAGGAGUGGUGUAGCAGAGAAAAGUCCUUGUAGGCAUUAUCAGUAGAGACUUGGAAGUGUUCUGAGAGGAAAAAAUGCCUAAAUUGGGUUUUCAGGGGUGAGAUUUUCAUCUAGCAUUUUAUUUCAAAGUCAUAUAACUUUAUUGAUGUCGAACUUUCACCAAUUACCAUUAAGAAUAGAGGUACUUUGGACUAGACAGGGGGAAUGAAGGAAGGGGAGGAGGUAUGGGUUAGGAAUGAUAGUAUAAUGAGUGAAACAUUGUUGCCCUAUGUGCAUGCAUAUUUACAUGACCUAUUUAACCCUACAUUAUGUACAACUAGAAAAUGAGAAGUUAUACUCCAUUUAUGUAUGAUGGAUCAAAAUGCAAUCAAUGGUCAUAUAUUACUAGUUACAACAAAUUUAAAAAAUAAUUAAAAAAUUAGAAAAUAAAUAAAAUUGAUUUUCUUUCUUAGGAAAAAUAAUUAAGACAUGGAAAGAACUAUUUGAUAAUGAGUUUUUUUUUUCAGUUUUUUAUUCCUCAGUUUCCUUAGCUGCAAAAUAAAAGGGUUAAAGUAGAUCAUGUUUAGCAUCCCUUCUGAUUUUAAUGAUUAUUGGAUUCUGUGUGAAAAUGAGUAAGUUCCUAACAUUCUCCAUUAUCUGGUAUAACUGCAAGAAAUUAGAAUUUGAUUCCCUUGUUUUCAACUUCAUUUCAUUUAUUAAAGAUCACUGUUGUCUCUCAGUAUUGCAUAAAAUCAAGAGUGAGGUUUUAGGGUGAGAUCACUUUAGUUCAAAGUUCUAUUCUCCUUGUGCAAUUCUGGCCAAGGUAACCUUUCUGAACCUUAUUUUCCUAACUUGGGAAACAAGGAGAGAAAUUGUACCUAUUUAAAGGAAGCAUCUGAGACAAUCUAUGAUAUGGGAGCAGCGGGGGUUGGGGGGUGGGGGGGUUGCGGAUCAGCUUUGUCCCUGGCACACAGUAGCAAGUACAGAGAGUGUGUUUUCUUUAUUGUUGUGUGAGCUCAGGUCCUAUUGUAAUUUUGACUGCUUUCCAUCUGCUGUCAGUAUCUAUGGCCAGUAAAGAGCUGGCUGCUUCCUUUUGGUCUAUUGGUUCAUGAAGCCAGUUUAGACAUCAGAACUCUUUCAAAGGCAAAGCUUUGAAACUUUACACGUAGGUUUUUGAAGCUUUUAUGAGAAAGUUGGCCAUUUUGGGAUGAAUACAGAAUGUAUGCAUGAGUAGAAAAAGAAAGGAAUGUUAGAAUUGUAAUAAUUUUUAUUCUUUUAGGUGGCCCACAUGAGCAAGUUUAGUGAGAAUAGUGGGUUGGGAAUAAGCCUGGAAGCAACAGUGGGACAUCAUUUUAUCCGAUCAGUUCUACCAGAAGGUCCUGUUGGACACAGUGGGAAACUCUUCAGUGGUGAUGAGCUAUUGGAAGUAAGGAGCUAUACUUUUCUUUCUCUUCUUCAAAUAAGAUUCCAAAAAGCCUUGAAGGAGGAUUAAUGUGAUCUGUAAGUUCUUAUUUUAAAUUUCCUCUCAGAGGUUUCUUGAGAGAGAUCUGCACAUAAAAAUUCACGCAAAGCAGAAAUUUUAUAUCUGUGUCUAUAUUGAAUUUCAGAUCUAGUUCUGUGUGGUUGUUGUUUUGUUUCAGGUACAGAGAACUAUAAAAACUUUCUUUGAAACUUUUAAAAUAUAUAUCUGUUUUUUAGAACAGGUAAUACAUUCACAUGUUUCAAUAGAGAAUAAAAAGAUAAACAUUAAAAAAAUCUCCGUCCUGACCCCAUCCAGCCCAUUCUCAUCAUCCUUCAUUAGGUACCUGCUGAUAUUGUUUAUGUGCAGGCAGCCAUAUAUUUUAAGAUAAAUAUAAGAAAAUUGGAAGAGGUUCUUUCCCCCAUUUUAAAAUAUACAAUAUAUGCAAUAUUCUAUUUUUUUCCUUACUUAAAAUGUCAAGUUUUUUUUAACUUCUUUUUUUUCUUUCAUCCUUGGGAAUAUUUUCAUUGACUAUCCUUUUCUAGAUUUCCACACUGGCAGAUCAAAUAUGGGUAAAAGUUAAUGGUUUUCCUGUGAAUUCUUUAGAAGAUCCAAUUACAGCAAAACUCUAAAUUGUUUUAGGUAGUACUUCCAUAGGUCUAACUACAGUUCUAGAUCCAGCAGAAUCACAUUAUCAUCACCAUACAAAAAUGUAUAUUUGUUUAAUAAAAAACAUUUUCAGAAUAAUAUUUGCAUUCUGAAAUGUUUUCCUUACUUAAAGAAUGUAUCUUUUCUACAGGUGAAUGGUAUAACUUUGCUUGGGGAGAAUCACCAAGAUGUGGUCAAUGUUUUAAAAGAAUUGCCUAUAGAAGUGACAAUGGUGUGCUGUCGUCGUACUGUGCCACCCACCUCCCAGUCAUAAUUGGAUAGCCUGGACCUAAGUGAUAUUGAACUAACAGAAAAGGUAGAAAAUUUGC
rnacentral:lncRNA from 1 species